GGGGUUAUAAUUUAAUUGGUAAAAUUUUUGCUUUGCAAGCAAAAUUAAAGAGUUCAAAUCUCUUUAACUCCAC
rnacentral:tRNA from 1 species